rnacentral:rRNA from 1 species
CCUACGGGGGGCAGCAGGGAGGAAUAUUGGUCAAUGGGCGGGAGCCUGAACCAGCCAAGUAGCGUGAAGGAUGACUGCCCUACGGGUUGUAAACUUCUUUUAUAAAGGAAUAAAGUGAGGCACGUGUGCCUUUUUGUAUGUACUUUAUGAAUAAGGAUCGGCUAAUUCCGGGCCAGCAGCCGCGGUAAUACGGAGGGUCCGGGCGUUAUCCGGAUUUAUUGGGUUUAAAGGGAGCGUAGAUGGGUUGUUAAGUCGGUGGUGAAAGUUUGCGGCUCAACCGUAGAAUUGCAAUGGAUACUGGCAGUCGUGAGUACAGUUGAGGUAGGCGGAAUUCGUGGUGUAGCGGUGAAAUGCUUAGAUAUCACGAAGAACUCCGAUUGCGAAGGCAGCUUGCUAAACUGCCACUGACAUUGAUGCUCGAAAGUGUGGGUAUCAAACAGGAUUAGAUACCCUGGUAGUC